rnacentral:rRNA from 1 species
CCGUGAUAAGCGGGAGGAAGGUGUGGAGGACGUCAAGUCCUCAUGGCCCUUACGGGUUGGGCUACACACGUGCUACAAUGGUAGUGACAAUGGGUUAAUCCCAAAAAGCUAUCUCAGUUCGGAUUGGGGUCUGCAACUCGACCCCAUGAAGUCGGAAUCGCUAGUAAUCGCGUAACAGCAUGACGCGGUGAAUACGUUCCCGGGCCUUGUACACACCGCCCGUCACACCAUGGAAGUUGGCCACGCCCGAAGCCGUUAUUCCAACCCUUGUGGAGGAGGAUGUCGAAGGUGGGGCUGAUG